UACAGAGGUGGCAAGCGUUGUUCGGAAUUACUGGGCAUAAAGCGCACGUAGGUGGUCCGCUAAGUCGCGUGUGAAAUCCCCCGGCUCAACCGGGGAAUUGCGCGCGAUACUGGCGGGCUAGAGAUCGGGAGGGGUGAGUGGAACUCCAGGUGGAGCGGUGAAAUGCGUAGAGAUCGGGAGGAACACCCGUAGCGAAGGCGGCCGACUGGACCACACCUGACGCUGAGGCGCGAAGGCCAGGGGAGCGAACGGG
rnacentral:rRNA from 1 species